rnacentral:tRNA from 3 species
GGUCUGGUAGUUCAGUUGGUUAGAAUAUCUGCCUGUCACGCAGGGGGUCGCGGGUUCGAGUCCCGUCCAGACCGC